AGAUUGAACGCUGGCGGCAUGCCUAACACAUGCAAGUCGAACGGGAGUAGCAAUACUCUAGUGGCGGACGGGUGAGGAAUACGUAGGAAUUUGCUCUUAAGUGGGGGAUAACCCGGGGAAACCCGGAUUAAUACCGCAUGACCUCGAAAGAGCAAAGUGGGGGAUCGCAAGACCUCACGCUUUUGGAGAAGCCUACGUCGGAUUAGCUAGUUGGUGAGGUAAUGGCUCACCAAGGCGACGAUCCGUAACUGGUCUGAGAGGAUGAUCAGUCACACCGGAACUGAGACACGGUCCGACUCCGUACGGGAGCAGCGAGU
rnacentral:rRNA from 1 species